CGACCACAAAGUAGCAGUUCGAGCACACAUCCUAGCUCGUGCUGGGUGUUAUUAAGCAAAAACAUUUUGACCACAAGUGUGUUUUUUUCCUUUUUUUUUCCACAUUACAAACCAGGGGAUUUCUUUGUGGUUAGAAUUUGGGGCAGGGCACACUGGGGCAUGCCAGUCACGCACAACCCUGAAAAGGAUGUGGGUGGGUGGAUGGAUGGAUGGGUUUCUAUGGGCCUUUGUGAUCUCAAGAAUCAAGAAUGUUUUUAGAGUGACCUUGUUGUACUGCAUUUAUGAUGAAUGAUGUUUCUUCUCUGGAAAUUGUACCAAAGAAAGUGAAACCACUUUUGCAUUUGUGGAAUAGGAGUUGUUAUUACAGUACACAUUUGUCUUUCCCUUUGCCACCUUAUCUUUCUUUGUCUGUCUAAUGCCCUCAUGUCAACCUAUACCCUGUACUUGUCAUCACUCAACAAGGAAAUAAACUUAGUCUUACCUUCA